UCCUUCGGGUGCGUUAAUGGGCGUCGAGCGGCGGACGGGUGAGUAAUGCCUAGGAAAUUGCCUUGAUGUGGGGGAUAACCAUUGGAAACGAUGGCUAAUACCGCAUGAUGCCUACGGGCCAAAGAGGGGGACCUUCGGGCCUCUCGCGUCAAGAUAUGCCUAGGUGGGAUUAGCUAGUUGGUGAGGUAAUGGCUCACCAAGGCGACGAUCCCUAGCUGGUCUGAGAGGAUGAUCAGCCACACUGGAACUGAGACACGGUCCAGACUCCUACGGGAGGCAGCAGUGGGGAAUAUUGCACAAUGGGCGAAAGCCUGAUGCAGCCAUGCCGCGUGUAUGAAGAAGGCCUUCGGGUUGUAAAGUACUUUCAGUUGUGAGGAAGGGUGUGUAGUUAAUAGCUGCGCAUCUUGACGUUAGCAACAGAAGAAGCACCGGCUAACUCCGUGCCAGCAGCCGCGGUAAUACGGAGGGUGCGAGCGUUAAUCGGAAUUACUGGGCGUAAAGCGCAUGCAGGUGGUUCAUUAAGUCAGAUGUGAAAGCCCGGGGCUCAACCUCGGAACUGCAUUUGAAACUGGUGAACUAGAGUACUGUAGAGGGGGGUAG
rnacentral:rRNA from 1 species